CAAACUCUAGAAGGCUCUCUGUG
rnacentral:piRNA from 1 species